UGAGUAACCUGCCCCAGACUCUGGGAUAAGCACUGGAAACGGUGUCUAAUACCGGAUACGAGCUUCAGCCGCAUGGCUAGGAGCUGGAAAGAUUUCGGUCUGGGAUGGACUCGCGGCCUAUCAGCUAGUUGGUGUGGGUAAUGGCCCACAAGGCGACGACGAGUAGCUGGUCUGAGAGGACGACCAGCCCACACUGGAACUGAGAUACCGGUCCAGACCUCUACGGGGAG
rnacentral:rRNA from 1 species